CUAAGUAAGUGGGUAAUCGCCCUGACGGAAACGUCCGGGAGGAAAGUCCGAACACGUGUGAAUUGGAUGAAGUCUCAUGAGUUCAUGCAGUUCAGCAGGUAGUGGGUAAUUCCCACCGGGAGUAAUCCUCGAGAUGCGAACAGAAACGCUUCGAUCAGAAAUGGGAGAAGUAUCCAGUAAUGGAUAAUGCUCGUCGUAAGGCGAGAGUGAAACGGCUAAAUUCAUACUUGUCAGUGCAAUACCGAAUAGGUCCUUCACAGGACGGGUAGGUAGCUAGAGUUCUACAGCAAUGUAGAUCCCAGAGAGAUGAUUGCCUCUCCCGACGUAAGUCGGGAUCAGACAGAAUUCGGCUUAUAGCUUGCUUAGAAAG
rnacentral:RNase_P_RNA from 9 species